CGUGGCACCGUUUCAGCAAACCUCCCACCCAGACGGGGAUAAAAAUGCAACAAAUAAUCACUUGCUUCAUCACUGCUUAGGGAGUAAGCUGCAUGCAUGCACAGCUGAUGGCAUGGGUUUUGCGUGCACGUGUGCCACAAUGCAAAGCAGAGAGGAGCAGUUACCACAGAUCACCUGACAGAGCUGUGAAUUCCUUCUGAGUUGCCAUUCCUCACCUGCCAGGAAUAAGGCUCUGAGAGGCCCAGGCCUCUGUGCUGGAUGCUUGCACCUUCAGAAAAAAGCAGUUCAUGAACCGGCACACCAGUGGAAUAACAACUAUAACUUUCAAGUUUUUGUCUAUUUAAUCGGCUGAUUUGGCUUGAACGGCAAACUCCAUUACACAUACAAAACACUGAGCACAGAAACACUAAGCAGAUAUGCCUGACUAAUCAAAUUGAAAGAACCGAAGGAUUUUCCACUACUGAGUGCCACUGGUCUACAAAAACAAUUUCCGACUGAUCUGUGUGGUCAGACAACAUCCUCUGCUUCCUGAUGGAUAAAACACUUUUAAAUCCUUCUCUUCAAACAUGCGGUCUUAGGGAUCUUAAAUGAGGAUUUCAAUAGCUUGAACUCCUUUUCCUUUCAAUGUUAGAAAAUAUUUAGAAAUUAUUUUUCCUUUGCUAACAGCAUCUGUGAAUGCGCUGAUUUCAAGCAGCACUUGGGUCUUCCACGCCACCAUAUGUUUCGUUUUAAUUGUUUUUCCACGUCAGGACUGUGUUCAGCUGAGAGGAAAAGGCCAGGCCUUUCCCAGCUCCCUCGCAGUUUGUGAAAAAAGGAACAUCCACGUGUAAAAGUCAAGUGGAAAAUCCUAAUCCCACAAGCAUUUGGAGCAAUCACAUCUUGGAGCAGAAUAGUCACAUGGUCACAAUCAGUGAAACUGUCAACAAGAGGUUUUUGUAGCCCUUUUAAUGAAAUGUGUCAACGUUUUUACUCUUAAACAUGGAAGUCUGUUUUCUGAUGACUUUGCUGGACAGUUAAUUAAGCUUUUUUAAAGUCAUUUUUAUGCCUGAAAUAAGACCUCAAAUCUGUAAAAGAUGAAUGGAAGAAGCUGGAAAAAUAGUCUGGAGCCAGAAAGCAGGAAGAAAUUUCACAUAAGCUGUGCUGUCGAUGACAUUAAGCUGAAAGUUUCUGGUAAUAAAAUGUGGGUAUAUUUUG